GGCUCUGCGGCGCAAUGGAUAGCCCAUUGGACUUCUAAUUCAAAGGUUGUGGGUUCGAAUCCCAUCAGAGUCA
rnacentral:tRNA from 1 species